CACAACCAAAUUCAACUCUGGAGAACUCGGUCAUCAGACUGCCUUCUUUUGAAUAAAAUAUCGAUUGGCCAAUCAAACACCAUUUAACAUGAAGUUUAUCGGCCUGGUCCUUUUGAUCGCUUUGUGCACUGUUGCUGUGACAGCCCAGUGUGGUGGAUGGGGAGCCAGUUGUCAAAGUGAUUGUGACUGCUGUUCACUGUCGUGCGGAGUCAUAGGAUGUAAAGCAGCUCAAAUUUUCCGCCCAGGACAAAUCAAGGAGUACACGUGCCGAGGCUACAAAAGAUGCGAUUGCUGGCCUACAAAUGCUCGUGUCUUUGUUUAAUAUGUUAAAACAACAUUUUCAUGUUUAGUAAUUGUACAAACGUAAAUAGCCAGUUACAAUUCAAGAUACUUUCAAUGGUUAUCAUUGGAUAACAUUGUCAAGCUUUGCAACUUUAUUGUCAAAUAGUAGCAAGUAUAAGUUGAUUUUAUAAUGUAAUACAGUGUUUGAAAUUGUCA